CCUGCGAAGUCUCUCGUGAGGUUCCAAUGCGUCUCGAAA
rnacentral:sRNA from 1 species